UUGACAUGUCCGGAAUCCCGAAGAGAUUUGGGAGUGCUCGGCAAAGAGACGCCGGAACACAGGUGCUGCAUGGCUGUCGUCAGCUCGUGCCGUGAGAUGUUGGGUUAAGUCCCGCAACGAGCGCAACCCUUGUCAUUAGUUGCCAUCAUUUGGUUGGGCACUCUAAUGAGACUGCCGGUGACAAACCGGGAGGAAGGUGGGGAUGACGUCAAGUCCUCAUGGCCCUUAUGGGUAGGGCUUCACACGUCAUACAAUGGUCGGUACAGAGGGUUGCCAACCCGCGAGGGGGAGCUAAUCCCACAAAGCCGAUCGUAGUCCGGAUCGCAGUCUGCAACUCGACUGCGUGAAGUCGGAAUCGCUAGUAAUCGCGGAUCAGCAUGCCGCGGUGAAUACGUUCCCGGGCCUU
rnacentral:rRNA from 1 species